CCUACGGGGGGCUGCAGUGGGGAAUAUUGCGCAAUGGAGGGAACUCUGACGCAGCAACGCCGCGUGAAGGAUGAAGGUUUUCGGAUCGUAAACUUCUUUGAUGGGGGACGAAAAAUGACGGUACCCCAAAAACAAGCCACGGCUAACUACGUGCCAGCAGCCGCGGUAAUACGUAGGUGGCGAGCGUUGUCCGGAAUUACUGGGUGUAAAGGGCGUGUAGGCGGGAAGACAAGUCAGAUGUGAAAUACCGAGGCUUAACCUCGGGGCUGCAUCUGAAACUGGAGUUCUUGAGUGUCGGAGAGGAAAGUGGAAUUCCCAGUGUAGCGGUGAAAUGCGUAGAUAUUGGGAGGAACACCAGUGGCGAAGGCGACUUUCUGGACGACAACUGACGCUGAGGCGCGAAAGCGUGGGGAGCAAACAGGAUUAGAUACCCCAGUAGUC
rnacentral:rRNA from 1 species